AACAAAACGCUGGCGGCGUGCCUAACACAUGCAAGUCGAGCGGAGAUAUAUGGAAGGUUUACCGGAAAUAUAUCUUAGCGGCGGACGGGUGAGUAACGCGUGGGCAACCUGCCUCAUACAGGGGGAUAACACAGGGAAACUUGUGCUAAUACCGCAUGAAAUCAUAGUAUGGCAUCAUACAAUGAUCAAAGGAGCAAUCCGGUAUGAGAUGGGCCCGCGUCCGAUUAGCUAGUUGGUGAGGUAACGGCUCACCAAGGCGACGAUCGGUAGCCAAACUGAGAGGUUGAUCGGCCACAUUGGGACUGAGACACGGCCCAGACUCCUACGGGAGGCAGCAGUGGGGAAUAUUGCGCAAUGGGCGAAAGCCUGACCCAGCAACGCCGCGUGGAGGAAGAAGGCCUUCGGUUGUAACGUACCUGUCCGACGGGACGGAACGUAGGUAGACGGGUACCGUUCGGGUAGGGAAGGACCCCGGGCCGUAACCUACCGUCGGCCACGCAGCCGCCGGGUAACGUCAUAACUCCG
rnacentral:rRNA from 1 species